UAACAUGAGAGUUUGAUCCUGGCUCAGGAUGAACGCUGGCGGCGUGCUUAACACAUGCAAGUCGAACGAAGC
rnacentral:ncRNA from 1 species